rnacentral:rRNA from 1 species
GACGAACGCUGGCGGCGUGCUUAACACAUGCAAGUCGAACGGUAAGGCCUGGUAGUUGUGGGGUGCGGGUGUGGCGAACGCGGGAGUGUAACGCGAGUAGCCUGCCCUUGUCUUUGGGGGAACUUAAGUGAACACGGGCGCAUAUAGGAUAUGAACUCCUUCAACAUGGUGUGGAUUGGUGAGUUUCGUCGUUUGGUGUUGGACGCGCGGCCUAUCAGCUUGUUGGUUGGUUAGUGGAUUACCAAGGCUUUGACGGGUAGCCGGCCUGAGAGUGUGACCGGCCACAUUGGGACAGAGAUACCGGCCAGACUCCUACGGGAGGCAGGAGUGAGGGAUAGUGCACGAAGGGCGGAAGCCGGAUGCAGGAACGCCGCGUGCGGGAUCACGGCCUUCGGAUUGUAACCCGUUUUCGCCUGUGAAGAAGAGUGAGUGACGGUAAUGGGUAAAGAAGCACCGGCUAACUACGUG